rnacentral:rRNA from 1 species
GACGAACGCUGGCGGCGUGCUUAACACAUGCAAGUCGAACGGAAAGGCCCUGCUUUUGUGGGGUGCUCGAGUGUCGAACGGGUGAGUGACAAGUGAGUAACCUGCCCUUGACUUUGGGAUAACUUCAGGAAACUGGGGCUAAUACCGGAUAGGAGCUCCUGCUCCAUGGUGGGGGUUGGAAAGUUUCGGCGGUUGGGGAUGGACUCGCGGCUUAUCAGCUUGUUGGUGGGGUAGUGGCUUACCAAGGCUUUGACGGGUAGCCGGCCUGAGAGGGUGACCGGCCACAUUGGGACUGAGAUACGGCCCAGGCUCCUACGGGAGGCAGCAGUGGGGAAUAUUGCACAAUGGGCGGAAGCCUGAUGCAGCAACGCCGCGUGCGGGAUGACGGCCUUCGGGUUGUAAACCGCUUUCGCCUGUGACGAAGCGUGAGUGACGGUGAUGGGUAAAGAAGCACCGGCUAACUACGUG